rnacentral:rRNA from 1 species
UACGAAGGGGGCUAGCGUUGCUCGGAAUCACUGGGCGUAAAGGGCGCGUAGGCGGCCAUUCAAGUCGGGGGUGAAAGCCUGUGGCUCAACCACAGAAUUGCCUUCGAUACUGUUUGGCUUGAGUAUGGUAGAGGUUGGUGGAACUGCGAGUGUAGAGGUGAAAUUCGUAGAUAUUCGCAAGAACACCAGUGGCGAAGGCGGCUGACUGGACCAUUACUGACGCUGAGGCGCGAAAGCGUGGGGAGCAAACAGG